rnacentral:rRNA from 1 species
GGUCAGUGGCAGACGGGUGAGUAACACGUGGGAACGUCCCCCUCGGUUCGGAAUAACUCAGGGAAACUUGAGCUAAUACCGGAUACGUCCGAGAGGAGAAAGAUUUAUCGCCGAGGGAUCGGCCCGCGUCUGAUUAGCUAGUUGGUGAGGUAAUGGCUCACCAAGGCGACGAUCAGUAGCUGGUCUGAGAGGAUGAUCAGCCACACUGGGACUGAGACACGGCCCAGACUCCUACGGGAGGCAGCAGUGGGGAAUAUUGGACAAUGGGCGCAAGCCUGAUCCAGCCAUGCCGCGUGAGUGAUGAAGGCCUUAGGGUUGUAAAGCUCUUUUGCCAGGGAAGAUAAUGACUGUACCUGGAGAAUAAGCCCCGGCUAACUUCGUGCC